AUAUGGUGCACGAUUUAUUAUUUCUACAAUAUUAUUUAUACAAUCAUAUUAUUCAUACCAUUGUAUAUUUGUUUUAAGAGAAUAGUUUUGACAAAAAAUACACAAAAAGAUCAUCAAUGUCUUCUACAUUAGAAAGAAUGAAGAAUGAUUGAGUUGGAUUAAGACUGGUGAAUUGAACAUGAUCGAUGCGAGGGCAGUUAUUUAGAUUGAGGUUAUGUAGCGUUGAAAUGGAUUGCUGAAUGCAUAGUUUGAACAACCCUACAUUAUGGACCAAUUGCCGAAGGGGCUUGGAUCUCCCAGCAGAGUCACACGCGUAUGACAGAGGAGGAUCCAAGAGACUUGCAGAUCAAAGAAGAAAAAAAAAAGGAAAUAAUAAUGUAUUUAAAAAUUGCUACAAUCGAACUGCUGCAGUUUGAAUGGAUCGAAUCCAAAACUAAUUUACACGGAGGAUCAAUCAGCGUAAUGCUCGAAUGCAACAAUGAAGGUUUAAAAAAUUAGCCCAUCGUAGCCCAGAUCGUAACGAAGAGUUAUUAGGUGGGAACGAUGUUUAGUCGUAAUUGUAAUGCCCGUUCCGCAUACCAGCGAUCCUAUAAAUCGAUCGAUUGCAUCCAUCGAGAACAUUGUUUGCCAUUAAAUCGGGCAUUAAUGAUGCUCUGGUGAUAAAUAGCAACGUUAUUAUUUCUCGUUCUAAGCUCUCGAGAAAUAUCGUUUUCAUUUUGAGAUUGUACCUGUCUUAUAUUGGAAUAUUGGAUAAAGUAAAAUUUGGUGGUCGAGGUAAUUAAUCUUGACACACUAGGUUGAGUUUAUUUUGAAUUACUCUUCCAUUCAUGGCCCUUUUCUGUAUACAAUGUAAAGAGAAUUCUGAGAGGA